rnacentral:piRNA from 1 species
CAUAAACUUUGGUUUUUCGAGACAGG